GAGUUAGACAUUCUAAAAACAUAUACGCGGAUAUUGUUUGUUUGGUUAAUAAAUAUCAAAAUGCAUCCUGUGGUUAUUAGUGUCAUCUAUUUCUGAUUGGAAACAUCGAAAAACUUGUUUCAUUGCCUUUGAAAUUAUAUGAUACAAUUUUCUUGUAUCUCUUCCAUAAGAAGCAAAUGAGUGAAUGUCCGAACCGACAUCAGUUGGUGUCAAUGAGGAUGACAAUGUGGCCCUAGAGUACAACACUAACAAUGUCAAGAAAGCAAAGCUCAAUUCAACACUAGCUUAACUCUUCGUUGAUCCUGUGCUUGCAGAUGUACCGAAAAAACCAAUUCUAUCAGAUGUUAACACCCUGAUCAGCUUGGAACUCGAUGUUGCUGUGAUGAAUUCUGCAACAAUCAAGGAUUUGAAACCUUUUGUUGAGAAAAAAGGUCAAUGAAAUGGAGCAGUCAAAGAUGAGCCAUGAGGCCAUCGCCAUAUUUGCUUGAGCUUCCAUCGGUCCAUCUGUCGGUUGUGUUUUCUAUCUCUCAUACCACAAUGAAAAGCUUCUGAACGAGGCUGCAGUUCUUCAAGAUCAUGGUGUACGAAAUCACUCUCAGUUCUUCAAGAUUGAGGUCUUAUCCGUUAAGGCAGCUUUCGGUGAAGCAGGAUCAGUAUGCACUGUGUUUAAGGAGUUGAACUACGGGUUAAGGUAUUUUACUACGAAUUGGGACCUAUGUGACAUAAAUAAAAGUGCUAUGUUAUAUGUGUGAAAUUGUUCUCUUUUUGGUAUUUGUCCUGAAUGUUUAAUUUGAUAUAAUGGAGUCAUUUUACUGGUUUGGUAAUUGUUGCAUUUCUUGCACAUAAGGUGUUCGAUGUAUUGCCCCAACGAGUUUUUAUGCAGCCUAUGACAUCAUUUUGCUGUAAAAAUAACCCCAAUGCCUGAUGCCCAACAUGUUAUCUUUUGGAUUUGGUUCAUUUGUUCAUCAAUAAUAUGAAUUGGAGUCGGGUUUUUUAAGAUCUGUUUUUGAAAAUGGGAUUCUCAGCCUAGCAUGUCUUUAGUGAUUGUUGGUUGCUUGUAUUAGACACAGAUGUUGCUGUGAUGAAUUCUGCAAUACUCAAGGAUUUGAAACUGAGAAAAAUAGGUCAAUGAAAUGGAGUAGUCAAAGAUGGGUCAUCUUCAUAUUUUUUGGUAUUUCUCUUUCCUUUGUUACCUAGUUGUAUUUCAUAUAAAUGGUAUGAAAUUGCCUCCUUCAUGACUAGGUACCAUGAACUGCUUGCUAUUUCUCAUGUUUUUUGCGAAUACUAUUUUUCUCAUUUGUUGAUUAUCCAAAAAUAAAUAUUUUUUUCCAAUGAUAAUUUUUGUGGUAAAUUUCUGAAAAAAUAGUCAUAUUGCACGUUUAGAGCUUCCAUUUGUUGGUUGUGUGUUCAGGAAGCAUGUUGUGUGGCGAAAAUUUUGUCUUUCAUACCACAAUGAAAAGCUUCUGAAUGAUGCUAUAGUUCUUUAAGAUCAUGGUGUACGAAAUCACUCUCAGGUAAGUGUGACUUGCAUCAUUUAUAUUUAGUUUUGCUGUGUGAUCGGGUCUCUAAAUCAGACUGUUACACUAACUGAUUCUUUUUUUAUUGUGUUUGGUUAUCUAACUCGGAUUCUUCAAAGCGACACUCGCGAAGGAGAAAACAUAGGUUUUUUCAUGGUCUCAACAGAAGGGAAUGAAUUGCUGAUCCUUAAGUAUGUUCCUGUGUAUUAAAUGUUCUGUUUUACAGAUGAAAGUCGACCAUGAAUCUUAGAAAGUGGUUUAGAAUUAUAUCUCUUUUGUGGAACUGCUUCUGAUCCAGAGGAAAUGAGUGAAACUGUUUCAGGAUAGAAACUGCAGCCGCUCGUGUGUUCUUUGAUGGAUAUUGGGGUGUGUUCUCUGUGGCAGUGGUUGCUGGGUUGUCAUUUGAAUUUAAUCAGUAAAUGAUGUGGAUUUGAAAUGUUGAAGCGGAUUUUUAGAAUAAGAAGAUUGAAGGAUGGUUUAGAGUGUGUGGCUGGCUGUUUAUGUGAAUAACUAUUUUAAACCCAAUGCGGUUAAGUGAACUUUUUUUUU